rnacentral:rRNA from 1 species
AGUGGGUGUAACGUACCCACUAGCCUACGACGGGUACGGGUUGUGAGAGCAAGAGCCCGGAGAUGGAUUCUGAGACAUGAAUCCAGGCCCUACGGGGUGCAGCAGGCGCGAAAACUUUACAAUGCGGGCAACCGCGAUAAGGGGACAUCGAGUGCUGGGUUACAAACCUGGCUGUUGGGCUGCCUAAAAAGCAGUCUAUAGCAAGGGCCGGGCAAGACCGGUGCCAGCCGCCGCGGUAACACCGGCGGCUCGAGUGGUAACCGCUGUUAUUGGGUCUAAAGGGUCUGUAGCCUGCCGGCUAAGUCUCUUGGGAAAUCUGGCAUCUCAAGUGUCAGGCUGCCAGGGGAUACUGGUCAGCUUGGGACCGGGAGAGGUGAGAGGUACCUCAGGGGUAGGGGUGAAAUCUUGUAAUCCUUGAGGGACCACCAGUGGCGAAGGCGUCUCACCAGAACGGAUCCGACGGCAAGGGACGAAAGCUAGGGGCACGAACCGGAUUAGAU